rnacentral:rRNA from 1 species
UACGUAGGGUGCAGGCGUUAAUCGGAAUUACUGGGCGUAAAGCGUGCGUAGGCGGUUUGUUAAGACAGGUGCGAAAUCCCCGGGCUCAACCCGGGAACUGCGUCCGAGACUGGAAGGCUUGAAUCCGGGAGAGGGAUGUGGAAUUCCAGGUGUAGCGGUGAAAUGCGUAGAUAUCUGGAGGAACACCGGUGGCGAAGGCGGCAUCCUGGACCGGUAUUGACGCUGAGGCGCGAAAGCCAGGGGAGCAAACGGG